GUCGUACAUUAGGGAAGUGAAGAAGUUAGCAGCAGGCCCCACUAAAACUGUUACAACCUGUUUUUUCAGGGGAAAUGGAGGAGAGGUGGAGGAGGAGGAGAGAGGCAAAGCUAAUCACUUUCCCUGCUGACUUCACAUGAUGGAGGGAGGUAAAGAUCACAGCUCUACGAGCACAUUGCAGCCGUCCUCCUCUCCUCCCUCCGCUCCUCCCGGCCUUUUGAAGGAAGGCCUGGGGUGCCUGCUUCGCUCCCUCUGCCCACUGGGCUAUUGAAGGGAGUGAUGGAUGGCUUCAUAAGGAGACUAGAUCCAUCUUUCAUUCACAAGCCUUCUCCUUCUUAGAAAGACUUUUUCAUUUUCCGUUCAUCACUCCGUCUCCUUGCAGUUACUCUGCGUGGUCAGUGAUAACAGUCCUCACUUUUUUUUCAUCAGGUCCAGUUUCUUUUUCUUUUUUUCUUUCUUUAAUCCAUCCAUCCUUCCUAUGUAUGAAGGAAUGUUUCCCUGUCCAUCAUAUUCCUUCUGUCGUCCUGGUGCUGGGGACAGAUGUAGAGGCCUUCUUUUCCCAGCAUUCCCUGGGGAGAGUAGGGACAGGUCUUAACACCCUUCUGGUGAAGGGAGGGGGGAAAGGCAAGACGCCAGGGCAGUUUGUUGUUCAAAGGGUCAUGUAGUGGGAGUCAAGUGAUGCAUAAGUAAUGCUUUGUUUGGACUGAUCAUGGGGAAGGAAUUUUCUUAAUUUAGUUUUAAUUUGGUUAUUUUUCUUUGAAAUGCCUUUUGAAACAAAGACUGGGGAGGUGAAAAGGCUCUGAAGGUUCACCAAACUCUGAACGGUGUCAAAAACAUCAUUUUUCAUUACAAUUACUCAACCAGCUCAAAACUGUGAAAUUCUGCAAAACUCCCACACUUGUAAGUCAUAAAGAGGAAAACAAAUAUCUAUGUGGUGUUAUUUCUACAUCAUUUCAGGGCAAUAUCCAUCCAUCCUCUUAUCCAUUUUUUUUUUAUUAUCAACUACAAUUCAAUUCAAUUUAAUUUAAACACACACAGUCACAAUAACAGUUGCCUCAAGACCCUUUAUAUUGUAAGGUAGACCCUACGGUAACACAUACAGCAAACCCCCCCCCCCCCCCCCCCCGAACAAUCAUAUGACCCUUUAUGAGCAAGCACUUUGGCGACA
ensembl:lncRNA